AUGAACGCUGGCGGCGUGCUUAACCCCUGCCAGUCGAACGGGAAACCUUUUAUUGAAGCUUCGGCAGAUUUAGCUGGUUUCUAGUGGCGGACGGGUGAGUAACGCGUGGGUAACCUGCCUUAUACAGGGGGAUAACAACCAGAAAUGGUUGCUAAUACCGCAUAAGCGCACAGGACCGCAUGGUCCGGUGUGAAAAACUCCGGUGGUAUAAGAUGGACCCGCGUUGGAUUAGCUAGUUGGCAGGGUAACGGCCUACCAAGGCGACGAUCCAUAGCCGGCCUGAGAGGGUGAACGGCCACAUUGGGACUGAGACACGGCCCAGACUCCUACGGGAGGCAGCAGUGGGGAAUAUUGCACAAUGGGGGAAACCCUGAUGCAGCGACGCCGCGUGAAGGAAGAAGUAUCUCGGUAUGUAAACUUCUAUCAGCAGGGAAGAUAGUGACGGUACCUGACUAAGAAGCCCCGGCUAACUACGUG
rnacentral:rRNA from 1 species